GUCUUGUUGGUGCAGGGACUCGGUCUGCACUGUGGACAUGCAGAAGGAAUCACAUCUACAGGCUUUCCCAAACGCAUGUCACCAUGGGGGUCUUCUUCACAAAUGUCUGGUGGGGCUGGUGUUCUGCAGAAGAUAACUUGAGAAGCACUGAACUCCACUAAGUCCACGAUGCAAGAUCAAGUCCUAAUUCCUCCAGCAGGUCUCUCCGCCUCUCUGAGUUUGUUUCCUAAUCCAUAAAAUAAUAACACCUGCCCUAGCCACUUACUAAGGCUGUUGUUAGUCAAAUGAGACAGAGCUUGUGAAAGCCCUUCGUAAACGCUAAAGCAACACACGUGAGAAAAGUGUUUCCGCAACAGCUCACCGAGAGGUAGGGUAAACCCGCAGGGGUCACGGGAUGGAGUGUCACCAGUGAAACGAAAUGGAAAGUACUCUAACCAAAGCUGUUCUGUGCUGCGCUGGAUAACGAGCAGCACCAGAGUUCCUCCAGCGGUCUACCUCACGGUCAGCGGGACAUAGAGCUGAACGAACACACGAGGCAAACACUUGUACAUUGCCGUGGUGCCAAGACACUGAUGGGAUCCACAGGAACGUCACUUGGGCACUUCUUGUUACUACACAUUUGAUAAGAUGUUUCAACUAGCAAAAAGAGGCCACAGAACCCCAGUGUACCCCACUGGUCUUUAUGCCUCAGCAGCAAGCACCAGGUUCAGUCUGAUCUCCCUAAGAACAGGUGGAAAUGCUACUGAAGCAACUAAAAUGCAAAGAUAACCACUCACCUUGAAGAUCCUAUCCUUCCCAGCAUAGCCACGCAGAAAAACAGGAUGACUACAGGCGUAAGGGACACAGGAAUACAAACUGUCUCCUGACAGAUCUCCUAUAAGCAAGCCCUUUCUUAUCAGACUUGGGUUCUAUUUAACAACAUGAAGAGGCAUUUAAGUUUACAGAUGUAAUCCACGGCAUGGCUUGCAAUCUCCCCACAGAGCUUCGUGAAGCAGGAAGAAAUCAACUGACUGAGGAGACCUAACCCUCACUUCCUAUUUGCCUCUAUGAGCUGUCUAGGGAAGAAAUUCCAUCACGACUACAUGAGAGGUUCCCAGACUUGCAAAUUUUAUGGUCCAGUAAAAUACUCCAAAUUUAGGACACUCACAAGAGAUUGUCAACUCAAUGUUACUAAGGCUGUGGGAUGGCCACAAAACUUCAGCAUCACAUCCAGAAAAUGGCAAACUCCAGAAGAAAGAGAACCGUGUCUUGAGUCUCAUUUUUAAGAACAGAGACCUUACCAGAAGCCCCGUCUCUUCACUGGCUCAAAUGGGACCACAUGUUUACUGACUGCAUCAAUCACUGGUUUGGAUUACCACGUGUCUUAAUAACUAGGACUCACCCCUAGUGAAUGAGGAUGGAGUCAGCUCCCUGUGAAGCACAUAGCUGCAGAGAAAGACGGAGAACUGAGUAUCUGGGUGCUGCUGUGAAGGAUGCGAGUGUCAGGGCAGAGCAGACAUCAGCAUUUACUACCACAGUAAAGGCAGGAGAGCCUUUUCCUUGUCCUGCUCCAUCUCAGUGGACUGAGGACACAGGUUAGUGGCUAGUGACCCAUUCCAUUUCACAAACAUGAAAAUCAACGCCCAGAGGUGGUGGUCACAUUCCUAGUCAAGGGCAGAGUCAAGACUUGAAGCCAGGUCUCUCGACCUCUGUCCAGAAGUCUCCCCACAACGCUGUGCUUUGUCUCAAACUAACCAUGAGUUUCAGGCCUCAAGGAGCAGACAAUCGGGUUUUAGAGACAACAUAUGAAUGCAGUAACUGUCUUGUUAAAGGCAGAGAUCCCCAGAAAAGACUUCAUAAAUUGAGGCCCAGAGAUGUAUUACAAUUUGCUCAAUGUCACUCAGUUAAUCGGUAUAAUACAUGCAAGAGAAGAAAUAUUACCAGACAGCAUGUGAUUUAACUGCCAGAGAAUGGAUGCCACACCAUCACUUACUUAUGAAAAAAAUGACUGUGGGCCAUAAAGGACUCAGAGAUUUGAGACGGCUCUUGAACCAACACAGGGACCACGAGGAGGUUUCACGGAACGGCAGCUGAUUUGUUAAAGUCAUCUCAGGAACAGUAGUUAGGUUGAGGCAAGGGAGAUAUAGCUAAGAACCUCUAAAAUCUCCCACUAAGUAUAUACUUGAUUCCGUGGAAGCAGACAUCUAAAGUUCAGAGUUUCUGAGGAAUGUCCAGGAUAGAACCAGGCUGAGUGGUGGUCCCUGAUGAAACCAGGCUCACAAGUCACACCCCACAGCCAAAGGUGUGGGACGGAGGGAGAGCCGAUUCCAUUCACGGCCACAACACUGAC
rnacentral:lncRNA from 1 species